rnacentral:rRNA from 1 species
CUGCUAAAGAGGAGAAGGAAUGGGCAACGGUAGGUCAGCAUGCCCCGAAUUAUUCGGGCUACACGCGGGCUACAAUGGUCAGGACAAUGGGUAUCGACGCCGAGAGGUGGAAGGCAAUCUCCUAAACCUGUCCUUAGUUCGGAUUGAGGGCUGCAACUCGCCCUCAUGAAGCUGGAAUCCGUAGUAAUCGCGUUUCAACAGAACGCGGUGAAUACGUCCCUGCUCCUU